rnacentral:lncRNA from 1 species
UCACCCCUCACGAAGCUCGAACCAAACGCUCUUCUGGUACUCACGCCAUCAUCACGUGGCCUCGACUUCGAACCUCGAACAAGUCACAGUGAGAACGGAACAACGACAAUCAACAUCGACAUUGGGAUGAAGAAAUAACAGGAUGAAGUUUAUUGCCGGUCGAGUUGAAGAAGGAUGGGGUCAGUUAGCAAGAGGUGAAUGAACUGAGUUUGUCUGCAUUCUGUUUGAAAACUAUACAGGUUAUUGGUUAUGUAGUGAGUGUAUGCAAGUGAAAUUGUUCUGAUUUUGUGCAAGGUUUCGCUUCAUAUGUGCCUUGUUAUACACUUAGCAAAGUUGAAUUAUAUUAGGUUGUUAUUAUAAUUAUGCAGAUUGGAUGAAAUGAACAAAUUUAUCAAAACUGAGCUUUGGAGUUUUGUGGUGGAGCUUGAGUUUCAUUCUGUUAGAACAUUUGGAAAAUGAAGAUUAUGCGGGUGAAUGGCUUUGUUAUGUUCAUCAUGGAGCUGCUUGGUCUUGAUUCUAGUGAGCUAUUUGAACCAUAGGCUUGGCUCGUGGUUGCAAUGGAUCCACUUGGAGUAUUGGAUUGCAUGAGUUUUGGAUUUUAGGGACUUGUCAUGGAAUUGGCUAUGGAAUUUGGAUUGGUCAUGUUGUAAUUUGUCAUUUGAAAUUGAACUAUGUAUGUGGUUUAUGGAAAUAUAUGUUGCAAUUUGUAUGGUUGUGAUUGUAAUAUGAAUUCAGUUGAAAUGGUUGUAAUGGUAUUUGGAAAUUUAAUGAAGUAUGGUAUUUAUAAGACA